rnacentral:misc_RNA from 1 species
AACUUUCAACAAUGGAUCUCUUGGCUCUCGCAUCUAUGAAGAACGCAGCGAAAUGCGAUAAGUAAUGUGAAUUGCAGAAUUCAGUGAAUCAUCGAAUCUUUGAACGCACCUUGCACCCUUUGGAAUUCCGAAGGGUAUGCUCGUUUGAGUGUCAUUGUACUCUCACACUCUCUGAUCCUUUGGAUUCGGGUAGCGGUGGACUUGGGUGUUUGCUGCGUUUCGUUGUGGCUCACAUCAAAUGCGUUAGUGCACCUCUUGGUUGGACAUAGUACGGCGUGAUAAGUAUCUUCGCCGGCACCUCGCGAGAGGGUGGCCGAUCGAGAGCUCUGUGCUUUCCAACCGUCUUCGGACACCAUCUGACAACUUGACCUCAAAUCGAGUAGGACUACCCGCUGACCUUAAGCAUAUCAAUAAGCGGAGGC